rnacentral:rRNA from 1 species
AUUGAACGCUGGCGGCAGGCCUAACACAUGCAAGUCGAGCGGAUGAAGGGAGCUUGCUCCUGGAUUCAGCGGCGGACGGGUGAGUAAUGCCUAGGAAUCUGCCUGGUAGUGGGGGAUAACGUCCGGAAACGGGCGCUAAUACCGCAUACGUCCUGAGGGAGAAAGUGGGGGAUCUUCGGACCUCACGCUAUCAGAUGAGCCUAGGUCGGAUUAGCUAGUUGGUGGGGUAAAGGCCUACCAAGGCGACGAUCCGUAACUGGUCUGAGAGGAUGAUCAGUCACCCUGGAACUGGAACACGGUCCAGACUCCUACGGGAGGCAGCAGUGGGGAAUAUUGGACAAUGGGCGAAAGCCUGAUCCAGCCAUGCCGCGUGUGUGAAGAAGGUCUUCGGAUUGUAAAGCACUUUAAGUUGGGAGGAAGGGUAGUAAGUUAAUACCUUGCUGUUUUGACGUUACCAACAGAAUAAGCACCGGCUAACUUCGUG